rnacentral:rRNA from 1 species
AACGAACGUUAGCGGCGCGCCUAACACAUGCAAGUCGAACGCGACAGGGGCAACUCUGUUGAGUGGCGCACGGGUGAGUAACACGUAGGUAAUCUCCCCCCGAGUGGUGGAUAACCUUCCGAAAGGAGGGCUAAUACAGCAUAAGACCACGGCUUCGAAAGGAUCUGAGGUCAAAGCGGAGGAUCGCAAGACUUCGCGCUUGGGGAUGAGCCUGCGGCCCAUCAGGUGGUUGGCGGGGUAACAGCCCACCAAGCCUAAGACGGGUAGCUGGUCUGAGAGGAUGAUCAGCCACACUGGAACUGAGACACGGUGCAGACUCCUACGGGAGGCAGCAGUGGGGAAUCUUGCGCAAUGGACGAAAGUCUGACGCAGCGACGCCGCGUGGGUGAUGAAGGCCUUCGGGUUGUAAAGCCCUGUGGGGAGGGACGAAUAAGUUUCAGCUAAUACCUGAAGCGAUGACGGUACCUCCUUAGCAAGCACCGGCUAACUCUGUGCCAGCCGCCGCGGUAA